rnacentral:rRNA from 1 species
GUGGGGAAUAUUGGGCAAUGGGCGCAAGCCUGACCCAGCAACGCCGUGUGAGGGAUGAAGGCCUUCGGGUCGUAAACCUCUGUCAGAAGGGAAGAACGGGCACAGUUCGAAUAGGGCUGUGUUGUGACGGUACCUUCAGAGGAAGCACCGGCUAACUCCGUGCCAGCAGCCGCGGUAAUACGGAGGGUGCGAGCGUUAUUCGGAAUCACUGGGCGUAAAGGGCGCGUAGGCGGCCUGGUAAGUCAGGGGUGAAAUCCCACGGCUCAACCGUGGAAUUGCCUUUGAAACUGCUGGGCUUGGAUCCUGGAGAGGGUGGCGGAAUUCCUGGUGUAGGAGUGAAAUCCGUAGAUAUCAGGAGGAACACCGGUGGCGAAGGCGGCCACCUGGACAGGUAUCGACGCUGAGGCGCGAAAGUGUGGGGAGCAAACAGGAUUAGAAACCCUAGUAGUCC